GAGAUUAGCGCGUUCAAACAAACAAACUGUUCAUUUGUAUAAUACGAGUGUUACUGUUACAGAUCGCCCUGCGCGCGGUGCGCGAGCGCUCGCUGCCCGACGCGUGCGCCGAGCUGCUGCUCGCCGAGCGCGACACGCCCGACGACAGGGAGGGCGAGGAGUGGGAGCGACGGGGGGGCGCGCACAGCGCCGCGCGCAGCGACCUCGACGACGACUGCUGCAGGUCAGGAUCGGGCUCCCUGCGCUGCGCGUCAGGCAGUGUCUCCACGCAGGCCUCCAUGGAGAGCGCGCGCGCGGCGGGCGGCCGGCAGCUGCCGCAGCGACCGCAGGACGCGC
rnacentral:lncRNA from 1 species